AAAGAGAGGGUGAAUUGGUUUCUCUAAAUUUUUUACUACCUUGAUUGAGUUAAUUGAUGAGUAAGUGAAGUUAAAACAAUACACAAUGCAAACACACAAGAAGUAUAGUGGUUCGGUGCUCUCCUAAGCACCUACGUCCACUCCCCAAGCGACCCCUUGGGAAUUUACUAUAAUCCCGCGGAUUACAGUUGGAUUGUUUUCCGGGCUCACAAUCCAAAAACCUUUACACUUUGAUUUUUCGGGAUCACCAAAAACCUAUGUUGGUUUUACGGGCUCACCAACAAACCUUCACAGUUGGUUUUACGGGUUCACCAACAAACCUACACCGUUGGUUUUACGGGCUCACCAACAAACCUUUACAAGGUGAUUAAGAAAAAGAAGAAAGUUGAAACUCCUAGAUUAGCAAAUAUAACAACUAUGAGCUACAAAGAAGAGUUUAGAAUAUAGUUAUCGCUUUGAUGAGACUUCUCUCUUCUUUGUCAAAAUUGUUUCACUCUUCAAGGGUUGGUGGAGCUCUUAAUGUCUCUUAGAAUCUACUCAACCACUUUCUUUUGUCUCUUUGAGUGAAGCAUUUGAAUGAAGAAUGCUAGGGCUUUUUCUUUCUUGAAUGAGCUUUGAUUUCUUUGCAAAAGGAUAUCUUCUCUGAUGAAUAGUGUCACUUUAAAUACUUUCCCUCAUCCAUUGGUCACCCCCCAUUGGUUAGAUUUCAAAAACUAGCCGUUACUUGCUGUUGGGAGGUCAAAAAGUACUUCUGCAGAACUAGCCGUUAUGCUUCUGCCCGUGCUGGGGUCGACCCAAACUUUCCUGUGGUCGACUCAAACCACUGUUCAUCAUACUUGGGGUCGACUCAACUUUCA
rnacentral:lncRNA from 1 species